rnacentral:rRNA from 1 species
UACGGGGGGGGCAAGCGUUGUUCGGAAUUACUGGGCGUAAAGCGCGCGUAGGCGGCUUUGCAAGUCAGAUGUGAAAUCCCCGGGCUUAACCUGGGAACUGCAUUUGUGACUGCAUGGCUGGAGUGCGGCAGAGGGGGAUGGAAUUCCGCGUGUAGCGGUGAAAUGCGUAGAUAUGAGGAGGAACACCGAUGGCGAAGGCAGUCCCCUGGGCCUGCACUGACGCUCAUGCACGAAAGCGUGGGGAGCAAACAGG